GACAGAGGCCUCGAGCGUUAGGCGGAAUCACUGGGCUUAAAGCGUGUGUAGGCGGGCCCGGAAGUGUCUUGUGAAAUCCCCCGGCUCAACCGGGGAACGGCUGGGCAUACUGCGGGUCUUGGGCCGACUAGGGGCAGCCGGAACAAGCGGUGGAGCGGUGAAAUGCGUAGAUAUCGUAAGGAAGACCAGUGGCGAAGGCGGGUCUCUGGACAGUUCCUGACGCUGAGGCACGAAGGUCAGGGGAGCAAACGGG
rnacentral:rRNA from 1 species